GUGGGUGACAUCACCCUGCGUUUUUGCAGGCUGAGCAGAUGCUCUAAGUUCUCUGGUACUGGCUCCAGCCUGAGCCUCUGGGGUGCAAAGCAGGACAGGGUGAAGCCUCUCCUAGAUGCCGACAUUUUUUCUUGGGAGCCAGAGAACACGGAAGAUAAAAGCACAACGAUCUCAAUUGGAUUAAUUAAUUCGUUUAUGUAUUUAGUGGGUGAACUUUCUUCCAGUUCUUUCUGAAUGAGGGCAAGGUGCAGGCUGGGUGGCGUUAGAUGGGAUCUGAUGAACGGAAGACUGAUACGGAUCCCAAAUCUGGAAGUUCUCCAAUGCCAGCAGAGUCUUCAGAGGGAGCCACGGGAAAUCGACAAGUACAAGAAAACAAACAUGGUUUUCUCUUUCCUAAUGUUUUCCUCUGCACUGGUAGGAAUUUGCCUACAGAUCCAGCAAAGCCUGCAGGGCUGGGGGGCUCUGAGGACUGACUGGGGUGCUAACUGCGAGAUGUGGAGUCCUUCGUCUGCUGGGGCCUGGCCUGGGGGCUCGGCUAGCUGUCAGCCCGGCCUCGGCCUCUCCGUUGUUCUCCCCUUGUCCUUUGGCAAGAAACAAGGAAGGAGAGACAGAGCAGCCCAGGGGAAGGGCUGGGGUGUCUUAACCUCUCCUUUUAGGCUCCAGGGCCCUCCCUCAAGGUGCAGACUGCAUGAGAAAGAGAUCCCCAGCUCAGGAACCAAAAGAGACACACCUAGCCUGGUGACGUCCCCACCAGCCGGUGACCCGUGGCCCCCAGCUCUUACUGGGAGGUUCCCAUGUACACGGCCCUGAGGAGGAUCCGAGUGCCUGCCGACCAUGGCCCAGGGCUUACAAGAAGAAGAAACUUCCUCCGAGCUUCCCAAAGACCACCACCGCUGCUCACACUUUGGAAAUCCUUCUGUCCAUUCAUUUUCGGUUUUUAUUUGGUUUUCACAUUGUUGUAAUCAUCCCGUGUUUACAAUUUUGUAUCCCACCGCAUUUAUCAUCCUAGCGUGUAUAUGUUUCUGCAUGUUAAAUUUAUCCUUGUUAUUGCAAAGGUUCAUAUUUUUAUAUAUAUUUACACACAAAGGCUCACUUCAUGGGUUUUCCCUUUCUUAGCAGCAAACUUUGAAAAUGUCCCUUUUCUCUUCUAUCUCUCACUCCCCCUCUUUGGCCUCCCUCCUAUCCUUUCUUUUCUUCCUUUCUUUCUCUCGAAAUUUCUAGUUCCAACUCACUGCUUCCCUUCAUUUCACAUCUUCUCCAGACUUAUGACUGGACAUCUCUAAGACAUACACCAGAGGAUUCCUCUAAGGUCUAAACUCCCUGAAGUUUUGCGGUACCUGAUUGGCAGAGAGGAAAUUUCUGGUGAAGGCAGUUCUCACCCAGAGGGGCUGCGGCUGGGAGGCUCAUUACUCCAGGCCAGGGACAGUUGUCAAGAUGAAAAGGACAGGAAGACGAGUCUGGGCCAAGGCAUGUAAAGGUGUUUCCUGGACUUUGCAAGACCCCAGAGUGUCAGAGAAAGGGAAAUGUAACAUAUUCUACUUGGAGAGGAAAUAAAUAUGUGGUCUGUCAACUAAUCCUUGGUCUACACUCGGAAAGAGUUUUAAUAGUGUUUACAGGGAUGUUUCCCAAGGGCUGGUUUGCCCUUUCCCUGCUGGGUACCUCGAGUCGGUAAGUACAAGCAGCCCCUCUCUCUCUUCUCCUCUCUCUUCCCUUCUCUCUCCCCUAGCCCCAUGGAAAGUCCAUAGGAGCCUUUGUCCAAUAACCAUGACACCAGCCCACUUUGUGCCCCGUGCGUGUCGCUCUCCCCAGCUCUUGCGUCCGUGUCUCAGGACACUUCCAGGAGACAGGUUGCCAUCACCAUGCUCAAAGAGCACUGCCCAAGAUCACACGACUAGAACGUGUCAGAGCCCGGAUGGAAACUCAGGGUGCCCAGCCCUAAAGCCCAUUCUCCUAACCGCUACCCCAGUAUUCCCACUCGUCUCUUAAGCACUCUUAACAUCAGCCCUUUCAAAUGCACAACAGAAUGCCGGUGGGAUUCUACUGCAGAGACACGCACGAAGUUCAAAGCUCUUUUUCAGAUGAUGUGCCAAGAAUUCUACAUUGUUUGCAGUUCGGCGUUGGGUGACUGCUUUUCUGCACCAGGUGUGGAACAACUCGGAGAGAGUCUGCCUUUUCCUGAACCUCGCAGAGAAGCGCCUAGAGCUGUGCCUGAGCAGGGCGGCCCGGCUGGACACACGUCAAGGCUUUGUGUCCCUUUGGCAGCCAGGGCCUAGGGCUGCAGAGCGAGGACAGCGUACUCCACCAGCCUGAUCUAAUCAGAACUCUGCCGCCGCCGCAUGUCUCUCUGUCCCCCACGUGUCCUAGAGCCCAUGUCCCAUCCCCCAGCACCUCUGUUCCUGUCUGCAUCGACUCGCAGGACAGAGUUUCUGGAGUAGAGAACUUUGCCAGGAAGAGGAAGUCACCGGCGUGGUUUUGAAAAGCUCCCCUUCUGUGCGCCUCUCUUCCCUGAGACCCUUGAGUGACUUUCACUGGGGGCAGCCGCCAGGCCUAUUGUCCACCCACCCCUACUUGCCACACACUUCCUGCCCCGAAUGUCAAGGUUUUCAUUUGACCAUGAUAUAAUGAGCUGUAUAAAAUUAAAAACAGCUAAAUACCA